CACUGUUCCGAGGGGCGCCCGCUUGGGCUGAGACGGCAUUGGCCGAACCCUUCGAACCUGAUCCGGGUCAUGCCGGCGAAGGGACGGGAACCACGGCCUGA
rnacentral:ncRNA from 2 species